CCAUGAUAUUAAGGUCAGGAGACUGUGAUGGUCACUCCAGAACCUUCACCUUUUUUUGCUGUAACCACUGGAGGGUCAACUUGGCCUUGUGCUAAUGGUCAUUGUCAUGCUGGAAAAUCCAAGAGCGUCCAAUUCGCAGCCUUUGUGCAGAAGAAUGCAAAUUGUCUUGCAGUAUUUUCUGAUAACAUGCUGCAUUCACUUUGCCUUCAAUUUAUACAAGAUUCCCCAUGCCUUUAGAGCUCACACCCCCCCAGACCAUCAGUGAGCCACCAUCAUGCUUCACAGUGGGGAUGGUAUUCUUUUCACUAUAGGCCUUAUUGACCCCUCUCCAAACAUAGCGCUUAUGGUUGUGACCAUAAAGCUCUAUUUUGGUCUCGUCAUUCCAAAUUACAGUGUGCCAGAAGCUGUGAGGCUUGUCAAAGUGUUGUCGGCAUAUUAUAACCAAGCUUUUAUUGUGGCAUUUGUGCAGUAAAGGCUUCUUUCAGGAAACUCGACCAUGUAGCUAAUUUUUGUUCAAGUUUCAUCAUAUUGUGCUCCUUGAAACAACCACACCGUCUUUUUGCAAACAGCUUGUAUUUCUCCUGAGGUUACCUGUGGGGUUUUCUUUGUAUCCCAAACAAUUCUUCUGGCAGUUGUGGCUGAAAUCUUUCUUGGUCUACCUGAGCCUGGCUUGGUAUCAACAGAUCCUCAAAUUUUCCACUUCUUAAUAAGUGAUUAAACAGUACUGACUGUAAUAUUCAAGGCUUUGGAUAUCUUUUUAUAUCC